rnacentral:rRNA from 1 species
UACGUAGGGGGCAAGCGUUGUCCGGAAUUAUUGGGCGUAAAGAGCUCGUAGGCGGUUUGUUGCGUCGGCUGUGAAAUCCCGAGGCUCAACCUCGGGCCUGCAGUGGGUACGGGCAGACUAGAGUGCGGUAGGGGAGACUGGAAUUCCUGGUGUAGCGGUGAAAUGCGCAGAUAUCAGGAGGAACACCGAUGGCGAAGGCAGCUCGCUGGGACGGUACUGACGCUGAGGCGCGAAAGCGUGGGGAGCAAACAGG